rnacentral:sRNA from 1 species
UCUCUACUGUUCCAGGGAGGGAUUUGAACCCGAUCAGAGGGUUCGACAAAAUUGCCAGGAGCAAUUUUGAUCGUGCGAUAGCACGACCCGAAGGGUGUAGGGCAGGAAGCCCGGAAUAAUCCCUCCCUCUCCGCCA